AGGGAGCAGCUGUUGUUACCUCAGGGAAAUUCUCUCCUUCCCUCCUGAGACAGCCUGGGCACUGUCCAGGGAGAAGGCUGAGCCCUGGGAGAGUCAGUGCAGUCACUGUGAUGAGGGAUCAGGAGACCCAGGGUCACUCUCUCCCCUCUGAGACAGGGGCAUCACCCCAGCUGAGGGUUUCUUCUUCCCCAGGACUGAGCCCCAGCCCCAGGGCAGAGGGAGGAGCUGCCCGCGGCCCCUGCACCUGUGCGCAGCAGCGUCGCGUUCCCGAGCUCCAGGUAUCUGCGGAGCCACUCCACGCACGUGCCCUCCAGGUAGGCCCUGAGUCUCUCUGCUUCACCAGCCUGCUCCCACUUGUGUUUGGUGAUCAGCGCCGCCAUGUCCGCCGCCGUCCACGUUUUCAGGUCUUCGUUCAGGGCGAUGUAAUCGCAGCCGUCGUAGGCGUACUGCUGGUACCCGCGGAGGAGUCGCCCG
rnacentral:lncRNA from 1 species